rnacentral:lncRNA from 1 species
GGCAGAGGGAAGAGGGGGCCGGGGAUGUCCCCAUUGUCCCCCUUGUUUGUCCCCUUCCCUCCUGGGCGGGGGGGGGAGGAGGAGCCCCCUGUUUUCCUCCCUCACUCAUGGACCUCCCCCGGUGGCUUUUUGUCCCCCCCAGGGGUCUUUGUGUCCCCCUCCCGGUGGCUUUGUGUCGUCCCCCCCCUCCCGGGGGUCUUUGUGUGUCCCCCCCCAAGGGGAGGGAUCCUCUUGGUUUAGAAGCGUUUGGGUUUUUUCUGUGGUUUGAGGAAAAUGGGGGACUCCCCGGGCUCUGGAGAGCGGUGGCCGUUGGGUGUCCCCAUGAUUGUCCCUGGGUGUCCCCAUUGUCCCCGUGGCUGGGUGUCCCUCAUAAUUGUCCCCAUGGCCACGUGUCCCCAUGGACAUGUGUCCCCCGUGAUUGUCCCCAUGGCCAGGCUUCCCCACCAUCAUCCCCAGGUGUCCCCACGGUCCCCGUGGCUGGGUGUCCCCAUUGUCCCCGUGGCUGGGUGUCCCUCAUAAUUGUCCCCAUGGCCACGUGUCCCCAUGGACAUGUGUCCCCCGUGAUUGUCCCCAUGGCCAGGCUUCCCCACCAUCAUCCCCAGGUGUCCCCACGGUCCCCGUGGCUGGGUGUCCCCAUGACUGUCCCCAGGUGUCCCCAUUGUCCCCGAGGCCGGGUGUCCCCCAUAAUUGUCCCCAUGGCCAUGUGUCCCCAUGGCCAGGUGUCCCCUGUGAUUGUCCCCAUGGCCAGGCUUCCCCACCGUCAUCCCUGUGUGUCCCUGUGGCCAGGUGUCCCCCAUGAUUGUCCCCAUGGCCACGUGUCCCCUUGAUUGUCCCCAUGGCCGUGUGUCCCUACCAUCGUCCCCAUGGCCAUGUGUCCCCAUGAUAAAUCCACCUCGGGGACCCCUGAAAUCCCUCCCCAGAUACCCCCAAAUCCCCCCAAGGACCCCUGAAAUCCCCCCGGGACUCCCAAAUCCCCCCCCGAGACCCCCAGAUGCCCCUGGGGACGCCCC